GAGUGGCGAACUGGUGAGUAACACGUGGGAAACCUGCCCAGAAGCGGGGGAUAACACCUGGAAACAGAUGCUAAUACCGCAUAACAACUUGGACCGCAUGGUCCGAGUUUGAAAGAUGGCUUCGGCUAUCACUUUUGGAUGGUCCCGCGGCGUAUUAGCUAGAUGGUGGGGUAACGGCUCACCAUGGCAAUGAUACGUAGCCGACCUGAGAGGGUAAUCGGCCACAUUGGGACUGAGACACGGCCCAAACUCCUACGGGAGGCAGCAGUAGGGAAUCUUCCACAAUGGACGAAAGUCUGAUGGAGCAACGCCGCGUGAGUGAAGAAGGGUUUCGGCUCGUAAAACUCUGUUGUUAAAGAAGAACAUAUCUGAGAGUAACUGUUCAGGUAUUGACGGUAUUUAACCAGAAAGCCACGGCUAACUACGUGCCAGCAGCCGCGGUAAUACGUAGGUGGCAAGCGUUGUCCGGAUUUAUUGGGCGUAAAGCGAGCGCAGGCGGUUUUUUAAGUCUGAUGUGAAAGCCUUCGGCUCAACCGAAGAAGUGCAUCGGAAACUGGGAAACUUGAGUGCAGAAGAGGACAGUGGAACUCCAUGUGUAGCGGUGAAAUGCGUAGAUAUAUGGAAGAACACCAGUGGCGAAGGCGGCUGUCUGGUCUGUAACUGACGCUGAGGCUCGAAAGUAUGGGUAGCAAACAGGAUUAGAUACCCUGGUAGUCCAUACCGUAAACGAUGAAUGCUAAGUGUUGGAGGGUUUCCGCCCUUCAGUGCUGCAGCUAACGCAUUAAGCAUUCCGCCUGGGGAGUACGGCCGCAAGGCUGAAACUCAAAGGAAUUGACGGGGGCCCGCACAAGCGGUGGAGCAUGUGGUUUAAUUCGAAGCUACGCGAAGAACCUUACCAGGUCUUGACAUACUAUGCAAAUCUAAGAGAUUAGACGUUCCCUUCGGGGACAUGGAUACAGGUGGUGCAUGGUUGUCGUCAGCUCGUGUCGUGAGAUGUUGGGUUAAGUCCCGCAACGAGCGCAACCCUUAUUAUCAGUUGCCAGCAUUAAGUUGGGCACUCUGGUGAGACUGCCGGUGACAAACCGGAGGAAGGUGGGGAUGACGUCAAAUCAUCAUGCCCCUUAUGACCUGGGCUACACACGUGCUACAAUGGAUGGUACAACGAGUUGCGAACUCGCGAGAGUAAGCUAAUCUCUUAAAGCCAUUCUCAGUUCGGAUUGUAGGCUGCAACUCGCCUACAUGAAGUCGGAAUCGCUAGUAAUCGCGGAUCAGCAUGCCGCGGUGAAUACGUUCCCGGGCCUUGUACACACCGCCCGUCACACCAUGAGAGUUUGUAACACCCAAAGUCGGUGGGGUAACCUUUUAGGAACCAGCCGCCUAAGGUGG
rnacentral:rRNA from 1 species